AACUCUUUGCCUUAGAGAUAAGACUUAACUCAAGGACUUUCAAAUAACAAGUUUCGCCCCAUGGAUAAGAGUUGACACUACAUUAUGUUUGUUUUAUGAGAUGCUCUAUAACUCUUGCUCUAGAGGCAAGACUUAACUGAGAGAUUUUUUAACAAGAAGUUAUACCAAUGGUCAAAAGUUGAUACUGCCACAUUAUAUCUUGACUUAUGAAGUGUUUUAGAAAUCAAGGACUUUAAACAGAAGUUAUGUCUCAUGGAUAAGAGUUGAUACUAUCAUAUGAUGUUUGAUUUAUGCGAUGUUCUAUAACUUUGUCUUAGAGGCACACCUUAGUUCAAAGACUUUCAAAUAGUAAGUUACCCCCUUAGGCAAGAGAUGACACUACCAUAUCGUGUCUUGAUUUAUGAGAUGUUCUAUAACUUUUGCCUUAGAGAUAAGACUUAGCCCACAAGUUACGCUCCAUGGACAAGAGUUGAUAUUAUUAUAUUGUCUCUUGAUUUAUGUGAUGCUCUAUUAGUCUUGCCUCUAAGGCAAGACUUAGCUCAAGAACCUUGCAAAAAAAUAAGUUGCUUCCAAUGGGCAAGCAUUGACACUACCACAUUGUGACUUGAUUUAUGAGAUGUUCUAUAACUCUUGCCUUAGAGGUAAGACUUAACUCAAGAAUUUUUAAACAACAAGUUAUGCCACACGAGCAAGACUUGACAAUACUACAUUGUGUCUAAUUUAUGAGAUGUUCUAUAUCUUUUUCCUUUAGAGGCAAGUCUUAUUCCAAAGAACUUUCACAUAACAAGUCAUGUCCUUAAAUUUACUUUGAUGUCAAAGAAAGAAGGUGUUUUUGCGGGUUAUCAAACUUUCUAUCUAUUAGAAAAUAUAAUAGAAGCUGAUGAAAAGAAAAUAGAAGAAACAAAAAAAAAAGAGAAGAAAAAAAUAAAGGUUAAGAAAAAGAAGAAGAAUAAAAAAAAUAAAAAUUUAGAAAAAUAAAAUGAGAUGAAAAAUAAAAUAAAGUAUGAAA
rnacentral:lncRNA from 1 species